ACAGUUUCAGCAGUCACAUAAAUAAGAGCUCCAGUUUACAGUUUUAGGACUCACAUGUGAAACGGUUUCUAUUUACAUUUCAGCAGUCACAUAUGAAAGGGCUCCGGUUUACAUUUUAGGACUCACAUGUGAAACGGUUUCUGUUUACACUUUCAGGAGUUACAUAGGAAAGGACUCCCUUUUACCGUUUUAGGACUGACAAGUAAAAUGGUUUCUGUUUACAGUUUCAGCAGUCACAUAAAAAAGCUCCGGUUUACAGUUGUAGAACUGACAAGUAAAACGAUUUCUAUUUGCAGUUUCAGCAGUCACAUAAAAAAGAGCUCCGGUUUACAGUUGUAGGAAUCACAUGUGAAACGGUUUCUGUUUACCGUUUCAGGAUCACAGACGAAAGGGCUCCGGUUUACAAUUUUAGGCCUCACAUGUGAAACGGUUUAUGUUUCCAGUUUCAGCAGUCACAUAGCGAAGGCUCUGGUUUACAGU